AUUACAAGCAUAACUACAAUCAGCGACCAUUUACUAUGGUCAUCAACCGGCAAACAAGCGCUUGCCCUGUACAAUUAUUAUCAACAUAUUUAAAUCAUCGUGGCUGUAGUCCGGGUCCAGUAUUUAUGACAGUGGAGGGCGUCGCGGUGCCGAGAAAAGUUUUUACCGCUAACCUUGUUGCUUGCCUCAAAUACUGUGACCUAAGUCCGUCGCAUUACAAAUCACAUUCGUUUCGAAUCGGUGCAGCAUCUUUCGCUGCUGAGAAUGGUUUGUCCGAUGCACAGAUUCGUCUUCUAGGUCGGUGGAAAACGAAUGCAUUUCAAAAGUAUAUUCGAGUUUCAUC